AUGUUGGGGUUUGUUGUUCUCUCAGACUGUCAGGUGGAGGUGGAGGAGGGGGCGAAGUCUGUCCAACUGCCCUUCAAGACCACAGCUAACCUGCCUGAGAUGGCUAAAGUGGAGUGGUGCCGCUAUCAACCUGAUUACAUGACAGUCCAUGUGUAUAAGAACGGUUCUGACCGGCCUGAAAAACAGAACCAGAAUUACAGAGACCGAACUGAGAUGAAGGAAGACCUGCUGAAAACUGGAGACCUCAGUCUGAUCCUGAAAUACCCCAAAGAGAGAGACACAGGAAGAUACCGCUGCAACGUCAACAAUAAGAAGGAAGACACCAGAUGCAUCCAGAGAGGGAAAUCAGUGCAGCUCACAGUCAGAGGGAGAACCAGGAACAGAAGCAGCUCCAUUGAUCCAACUCCUCUGAUGGCUGAUCAGUCUGUUUGAUUUGUCUGUUGAUCAAUCUUUGAUUAUUGAUCUUGUUGAUUUGAUUGUUUGAUUUAUCUGAUCUGACUGAUUAAUUUACUUUGAUUGAUUGAUUACUUUGCUUUUCUGCCCAUAAUCUCAUGUUGUUUAUUAUUUUUUAGUUGUCUUUGAUUUUGGUGUUUUCAAGUUCUAUAUGUAUAUAUCCUCUUACUGUUAAUAAUCAGUAUUGAGUAUUGAAUGAGUUCUACACAGAAAUAUCCUAAAUGUUAAUAUAUAGACCUACUGUGUAUAUUUUUAACUACUUACAAUCAAGAAGUUCAGUAAACUCAAUUAAAUGCAGUCAGACCAACAUGAAGCCAUUUAACCAUGUGGAAAUACUUUCUCUGAUUGAAUGAAGUUAUCGUUUGAGUGUCAGUCAGCUGAACUGUUCUCAUGUGUUUGAAUCCAUAAAGUGUUGUGUUAUGGAUUUGAUCAUUUCACACUCUGUUUAGAGAAUCAUGAAUGUUGAGAACAACUGUAAAUAAAGCUCAAAUGUACAGCGCCCCCAUGUGGCAGAGCGGGAGCAGAUUUCUCUUAUUUUAUCUACGUGUGAUGAUGGAGGCCAUGUGUCUCAGAUUGAUGAUUUCAUUUAAUAACAUAAUGAGUGUAAACUGUGUCUGUAGUGACAGCGUCCAUAAAGCGUUAUCAGCAGUGAAAUAUCUGCAGCUUCCACAAUCUAAUAUUGAUUCUCACUAAUUACAGUUGCUCAAUCACAUCAACUGUUAGUACAUAAUAGCCUUGCUAUUGCUAGUGUUCGCAUCAGUGAUAAAGCGUCUGUCUGUCUGUCUGUCUGUCUGUCUGUCUGUCUGUCUCCAGGAUCGUCUCUGUCCAGCAGAGGUCAGUGUAACACCAUUACAGUCUUUCUGAUCUGAUCACACAAAUCUUUAACUGUUGUAAAUGUCCCUUGAACAAAGACAGCGAAUGUACAAACACAUUUUCUGCUUUAAACCCUGUUUCUGACAUUAACAUAUACCUAUUAUACAUAUAUGUACAUAUAUACAUAUUCAGAUCAUAUUCAGAUCUACACUAACUGAACACCAAUCAGUCUGGGCCCUAGCGUACAACAGACCUGAGGUAAACUCACCUCUUCUGUGAGAACAUUGCAAACAUGGAGGCAGUGAGAGCGAGAGGACAGAGGAUGGAUGAAGACAGAACACAUUACAUUACAAUAAUGAUCAGCACCCUCUCCAUCACACAGUGGUCAGACAGCGGAGCACCUUCUCUCACAGGCUGCUCCAGCUCCGCUGUCGAAGGGACAGAUACAGGAAAUCUUUCCUGCCACAUGCCAUCACACUGUACAAUAACAGCUAAAACUCUGGUCAUAACAAUACAGUCUCCUAGAACCUUAUAUGUUUUAUCUGUUCACUGUACCUUAUAUUUUUACUUUGCACUACAAUUAUACCACAUAUUUAUGCAUUCUAUACAUUUUUUAUAUUGCAUUUUAUAUAGCUUUUUUUGAUAUGUCUAUGUUGUUCUCUUUACUUAUUGUGUUGUUACUGUGUGUAAUGCCGCUGCUACACUGCAAUUUCCCAGCUUGGGAUCAAUAAAGUAUAUCUAUCUAUCUAUCUAUCUAUCUAUCUAUCUAUCUAUCUAUCUAUCUAUCUAUCUAUCUAUCUAUCUGUCUAUCUAUCUAUCUAUCUAUCUAUCUAUCUAUUACUGUUUUUAUUUACUAUUCAAUAUUAAUUCAAUAACUGAAUAUAUUACAUUUUAAAAUAUAUUUGGAAUAAGAAAAUUCCAAUUAAAUUAUUAUUUUGUCAUUGACCACACAAUGCAGUACAUUUUAUUUAUUUCAUUUAGACACACAACAAAGCAACAAAUAUGUUUUAACAAUGAUGUGUGAAAUACCAGAUGCAAAUCCAAAAUAACAGUAAGAACUUGUUUUCAUAAAAUUAUCAAAAUGGGUCUUUGCCAACAAUUACAACAGUAUAUUCUUACCUUUUGCUGCAGAUAUUACCUUACAGUACCUUGCUAGGAUGCAGCAAACAGAACAUGUGUAUUGAAUUAGGAAACAAUUUCCUUCCAAAUACAAUCGCAGCAUAGUUUUUAAAUGUUUUGCUCUGUGAACAAUUUUCAAGUAUGAAAAAAAAACAACACUGACCAUGUAAAAACCUGUAUGCUAUGUGUGCCACACAACAAAGCAGGCAUUAAGAACAACUAUGCAGUGAGGACCAGAGUUGGUAAAAAAAAAAAAAAAAACCUGCAACUUUCUAAAAUGUGUCCUCUGUAGAAUAAUUUCAAUAAAACAAGCAACACUAGACACAUCUAGUACAAGAAGAAUCACAUACAAAAUGAGGAACUGCAAGAAUAUUUGCUCCAGUUGAGCAAUAAUCCAGACAAGGACAUGAAGAAUUGUGUCAUGAGCAUAAAUGUGUCUUAAUGUCCUGAGGCCAUGUGCAUAAGGCUGUGCACUUUACACAAGAAAACCACCAAGAAGGCUGCAUUGUCCACCCCCAGAUGGACUAAAAUUCUCAGCGACUACCACCACAUACGGGACUUAGUGCUCAACAGUCCAAGGGUUAUGGUGGAGACAGGAGAUGAGUAUCCUUUCUCAGGGAAUGGCUCCAACCAACCCGAUUCCUGUGGCACCUGACCAGCUUCCACCACCGAAGGAACGACUGCAGCUCCUUCCUUCAGCAUCAGGCCCACGGCAUGAAUUUGUCCUCCCUCCACAGCCAGCUGCUGCCACCAGGGAGUGCCCCAUCACACCUGCCCCCACCGCACCAGACAUUGCACAGCCCAUUGCAGCUCCUGGGAUGUUGCCUAGGAUAGGGAUUUGCAUCCUCAACCCAGACAACACUGUGUCAUGCGUACUGCCAGCUUCUGGUGCCUCAGCAUCCAGUGCAGGCCCAGCUCCACUUGUUCCUGCACCUGCUACUCCUGUGUCCUGGUACACGCACAUUGGCAGAACAGAGAGCAGAAAAUAAGUUUUUAACUAUGUUUUGCUUGUAUGUAUUGUAUAUAUUGUAUAUUGUGUGUUUGCAUGUAUAGUUCCCUGUGUUUAUAUAGUUUUUCUGAGGUGUGUGUGUUUUCAUUUCAAUACUAAUUUAUUUUACAUCUUGUGUUCAGAUACAUUAAAUCUGAUUAUACCAACAUUUAAGACUCAGCCUGUGCAUCAUCAAAAAAGCUCCAUAUUGUCCCACAGGCACAUUUUAUUAUUAUUAUGAUCAUUAUAUUAACAGAAAGAGAAAUAAACAUCACAAGUCAUUAUAUAUAUAUAUAUAUAUAUAUAUAUAUAUAUAUAUAUAUAUAUAUAUAUAUAUAUAUAUAUAUACUAUANAU
rnacentral:lncRNA from 15 species